ACGCGAAGAACCUUACCAGGUCUUGACAUCCUCGGAACUUGGCAGAGAUGCCUUGGUGCCUUCGGGAACCGAGAGACAGGUGCUGCAUGGCUGUCGUCAGCUCGUGUCGUGAGAUGUUGGGUUAAGUCCCGUAACGAGCGCAACCCUUGUCCUUAGUUGCCAGCGCGUAAUGGCGGGAACUCUAAGGAGACUGCCGGUGACAAACCGGAGGAAGGUGGGGANGACGUCAAGUCAUCAUGGCCCUUACGACCUGGGCUACACACGUGCUACAAUGGAACGCACAGAGGGUUGCAACCUCGCGAGAGUGAGCCAAUCCCACAAAACGUUUCGUAGUCCGGAUCGGAGUCUGCAACUCGACUCCGUGAAGUCGGAAUCGCUAGUAAUCGCGGAUCAGAAUGCCGCGGUGAAUACGUUCCCGGGCCUUGUACACACCGCCCGUCACACCAUGGGAGUGGGUUGCUCCAGAAGUGGUUAGCCUAACCUUCGGGGGGG
rnacentral:rRNA from 1 species